rnacentral:tRNA from 1 species
GUCCCCAUCGUCUAGCUCGGCCUAGGACACCGGCCUUUCACGCCGGCGACAGCGGUUCAAAUCCGCUUGGGGACGCCA